UACGAACGGUGCAAGCGUUGUUCGGAAUGACUGGGCGUAAAGCGCACGUAGGUGGGCUUGUAAGUCGGAUGUGAAAGCCCCAGGCUUAACCUGGGAAUGGCACCCGAAACUAUAAGUCUUGAAUGCUUGAGAGGUUGGUGGAAUUCCUGGUGUAGGAGUGAAAUCCGUAGAUAUCAGGAGGAAUAUCGGAGGCGAAGGCGGCCAACUGGUGGUGCAUUGACACUGAGGUGCGAAAGCGUGGGGAGCAAACAGG
rnacentral:rRNA from 1 species